ACGAACGCUGGCGGCGUGGAUAAGACAUGCAAGUCGAACGCUGAUUACGUUGCAGCAAUGUAGCGUAGUCGGAGUGGCGCAAGGGUGCGUAACACGUGGGUAAUUUGCCGUGAAGUCGGGGAUAACUUGCUGAAAGGCGAGCUAAUACCGGAUGUGAUCAUCGGGAGGCAUCUUUUGAUGAUUGAAGUUGGGGACCGUAAGGCCUGACGCUUCACGAUAAGCCCGCGGCCUAUCAGCUAGUUGGUGAGGGUAACGGCUCACCAAGGCUAAGACGGGUAGCUGGUCUGAGAGGACGACCAGCCACACUGGAACUGAGACACGGUCCAGACACCUACGGGUGGCAGCAGUCGAGAAUUUUUCUCAAUGGGCGAAAGCCUGAAGGAGCGACGCCGCGUGGGGGAUGAAUGGCUUCGGCCCGUAAACCCCUGUCAUUCGCGAACAAUGCGCAUUAUUUAAAAGAUGAUGCGUUGAUAGUAGCGGAAGAGGAAGGGCACCGGCUAACUACUGUGCCAGCAGCCGCGGUAAUACAGUAGGGUCCAAGCGUGUAUCGGAUUCACUGGGCGUAAAGGCGUGCGCUAGGCUGGUCGAGGUAAGUCGGAUGUGAAAUCUCCAAGCUCAACCUUGGAACUGGCAUUGGAAACUUACCUAGCUAGAGGUUUAGAGGAGGGGGAUAGGAAUUCUCAGCGUGUAGCAGUGAAAUGCGUAGAUAUUGAGAGGAACACCAGAUGGCGAAGGCGAGCUCCCCUGGCUAAACACUGACACUCGAGGCACGAAAGCUAGGGGAGCAAACAGGAUUAGAUACCCUGGUAGUCCUAGCUGCCUAAACGGAUGUCUAGCUUGUUGUAAAGGAAUAGAUCCCAUUAGUAGGCGCAGCCAACGCGUUAAGUAAGACCGCCUGGGAAGUACGGUCGCAAGAUUAAAACUCAAAGGAAUUGACGGGGGCCCUGCACAAGCGGUGGAGUAUGUGGAUUAAUUCGAUGCAACGCGAAGAACCUUACCUGGCCUUGACAUGCCUACGUACGUAGCAGAGAUGCAUAGUCUGCCCGAAGGGUAGCAAUACAGGUACACAGGUGCUGCAUGGCUGUCGUCAGCUCGUGUCGUGAGAUGUUGGGUUAAGUCCCGCAACGAGCGCAACCCUUAUGUCCAUAGUUGCCAUCAUGAAGAGAGUUCGGAGCACUUAUUGGAAGACUGCUCGCUUACAACCGAGGAGGAAGGUGGGGAUGACGUCAAGUCCGUCAUGGCCCUUAUGGCCAGGGGCUUCACACGUAAUACAAUGGUCGGUACAGAGGGUUGCCAACCCGCGAGGGGGAGCCAAUCCCAGAAAGCCGAUCGUAGUCCGGAUUGUAGUCUGCAACUCGACUACAUGAAGUCGGAAUCGCUAGUAAUCGCGGAUCAGCAUGUCGCGGUGAAUACGUUCCCGGGCCUUGUACACACCGCCCGUCACACCAUGGGAGUGGGUUCUACCAGAAGUAGUUAGUCUAACCGCAAGGAGGACGAUUACCACGGUAGGAUUCAUGACUGGGGUG
rnacentral:rRNA from 1 species